UUCAACUUGAGAGUUUGAUCCUGGCUCAGAACGAACGCUGGCGGCAGGCUUAACACAUGCAAGUCGAGCGAGAUCUUCGGAUCUAGCGGCGGACGGGUGAGUAA
rnacentral:rRNA from 1 species